rnacentral:rRNA from 1 species
UACGUAGGGUGCAGGCGUUAAUCGGAAUUACUGGGCGUAAAGCGUGCGCAGGCGGUUUGCUAAGACAGGUGUGAAAUCCCCGGGCUUAACCUGGGAACUGCGCUUGUAACUGGCAAGCUAGAGUGUGGCAGAGGGGGGGUGGAAUUCCAGGUGUAGCAGUGAAAUGCGUAGAGAUCUGGAGGAACACCGAUGGGCGAAGGCAGCCCCCUGGGCUAACACUGACGCUCAUGCACGAAAGCGUGGGGGAGCAAACAGG